rnacentral:rRNA from 1 species
AACGUAGGUGGCGAGCGUUAUCCGGAUUUACUGGGCGUAAAGGGUGUGCAGGCGGGCUGUUAAGUGGUGUAUGAAAUAUCCCGGCUCAACCGGGAGAGGUUAUGCCAGACUGGCAGUCUAGAGAGCGAGAGAGGGACGUGGAAUUCCUGGUGUAGCGGUGAAAUGCGCAGAUAUCAGGAAGAACACCCGUGGCGAAGGCGGCUCUCUGGGACGGUACUGACGCUGAGACGCGAAAGCGUGGGGAGCGAACAGG